GGGGGAGUAGCCAAAUGGUAAGGCAUCAGAAUUUGGAUCUGACAUGUAUUGGUUCGAUUCCAAUCUCCCUCU